GAUGAAGAACGCAGCGAAAUGCGAUAACUAAUGUGAAUUGCAGAAUUCCGUGAAUCAUCGAGUCUUUGAACGCACAUUGCGCCCCCUGGUAUUCCGGGGGGCAUGCCUGUCCGAGCGUCAUUGCUGCCCAUCAAGCACGGCUUGUGUGUUGGGUCCUCGUCCUCCCCGGGGGACGUGCCCGAAAGGCAGCGGCGGCACCGCGUCCGGUCCUCGAGCGUAUGGGGCUUUGUCACCCGCUCUGCAGGCCCGGCCGGCGCUGGCCGACGCGAAAGCAACCAUUUUUUCUCCAGGUUGACCUCGGAUCAGGUAGGGAUACCCGCUGAACUUAAGCAUAUCAAUAAGCGGAGGA
rnacentral:misc_RNA from 1 species